rnacentral:rRNA from 1 species
AACGAACGCUGGCGGCAGGCUUAACACAUGCAGGUCGAGCGCCCCGCAAGGGGAGCGGCCGACGGGUGAGUAACGCGUGGGAACGUACCUUUUGGUUCGGAACAACUCCGGGAAACUGGAGCUAAUACCGGAUAAGCCCUAACGGGGAAAGAUUUAUCGCCGAAAGAUCGGCCCGCGUCUGAUUAGCUAGUUGGUGAGGUAACGGCUCACCAAGGCGACGAUCAGUAGCUGGUCUGAGAGGAUGAUCAGCCACACUGGGACUGAGACACGGCCCAGACUCCUACGGGAGGCAGCAGUGGGGAAUAUUGGACAAUGGGCGCAAGCCUGAUCCAGCCAUGCCGCGUGAGUGAUGAAGGCCUUAGGGUUGUAAAGCUCUUUUGUCCGGGAAGAUAAUGACUGUACCGGAAGAAUAAGCCCCGGCUAACUUCGU